rnacentral:rRNA from 1 species
UACAGAGGGUGCGAGCGUUGUCCGGAAUCACUGGGCGUAAAGGGCGCGUAGGCGGCUUGAUAAGCGUGCGGUGAAAGCCCGGGGCUCAACCCCGGGUCGGCCGUGCAAACUGUCGAGCUGGAGCACUGUAGAGGCAGGUGGAAUUCCGGGUGUAGCGGUGGAAUGCGUAGAGAUCCGGAAGAACACCGGUGGCGAAGGCGGCCUGCUGGGCAGUGGCUGACACUGAGGCGCGACAGCGUGGGGAGCAAACAGG